rnacentral:rRNA from 1 species
AGAGUUUGAUCCUGGCUCAGAGCGAACGCUGGCGGCAUGCCUAACACAUGCAAGUCGUACGGCCCGGGCGACCGGGCAGUGGCGGACGGGUGAGGAACGCGUAGGAACCUGUCCUGUGGUGGGGGACAACCCUGGGAAACCGGGGCUAAUACCGCAUGAGCCCUGCGGGGCAAAGCCGAAAGGCGCCAUGGGAGGGGCCUGCGCCCGAUUAGCUUGUUGGUGGGGUAACGGCCUACCAAGGCUACGAUCGGUAGCCGGUCUGAGAGGACGAUCGGCCACACUGGGACUGAGACUCGGCCCAGACUCCUACGGGAGGCAGCAGUGGGGAAUAUUGGGCAAUGGGCGCAAGCCUGACCCAGCAAUGCCGCGUGGGUGAAGAAGGUCUUCGGAUUGUAAAGCCCUUUCGGCGGGGACGAUGAUGACGGUACCCGCAGAAGAAGCCCCGGCCAACUUCGUGCCAGCAGCCGCGGUAAUACGAAGGGGGCUAGCGUUGCUCGGAAUCACUGGGCGUAAAGGGCGCGUAGGCGGCCCUGCUUGUCGGGCGUGAAAUCCCGGGGCUCAACCCCGGGGCUGCGCCCGAGACGGCGGGGCUUGAGUGCGGGAGAGGGCCGCGGAAUUCCCAGUGUAGAGGUGAAAUUCGUAGAUAUUGGGAAGAACACCGGUGGCGAAGGCGGCGGCCUGGCCCGUGACUGACGCUGAGGCGCGACAGCGUGGGGAGCAAACAGGAUUAGAUACCCUGGUAGUCCACGCCGUAAACGAUGUGCGCUGGGUGUUGGGGCCCCUAGGGCCUCAGUGCCGCAGCUAACGCGGUAAGCGCACCGCCUGGGGAGUACGGCCGCAAGGUUGAAACUCAAAUGAAUUGACGG